rnacentral:rRNA from 1 species
AGUGAACGCUGGCGGUAGGCCUAACACAUGCAAGUCGAACGGCAGGAGAGGAGAGCUUGCUCUCUGGGGGGCGAGGGGCGGACGGGUGAGGAAUACAUCGGAAUCUACUUUUUCGGGGGGGAUAACGUAGGGAAACUUACGCUAAGAGGGGAGACGACCUACGGGUGAAAGCAGGGGACCGGCGGGCCUUGCGCGAUUGAAUGAGCCGAUGGCGGAUUAGCUAGUUGGCGGGGUAAAGGCCCACCAAGGCGACGAUCCGUAGCUGGUCUGAGAGGAUGAUCAGCCACACUGGAACUGAGACACGGUCCAGACUCCUACGGGAGGCAGCAGUGGGGAAUAUUGGACAAUGGGCGCAAGCCUGAUCCAGCCAUACCGCGUGGGUGAAGAAGGCCUUCGGGUUGUAAAGCCCUUUUGUUGGGAAAGAAAUCCAGCUCGCUCCUACCCGGUUGGGAUGACGGUACCCAAAGAAUAAGCACCGGCUAACUUCGUUCCCGCCGCCGCCGUAA